GGACUUGCUUAGGAAGGAUUCAGGUCAGCUGAAGACUUCAGGCCUUGCAGCCCAGGCCCCCUGGGCAAGCCAUGCACUCUCUGCAUGGCCAGACUGUGAUUACAGACCCAGUGGGGCCCACCUGGAUGUUCCUGGAUUGCCUCCUUGAGAGCCAGCUGAUUGGUAACCCUAAUUACAUCUGCAAAGCCCCAUCACAUCACAGAACAGUAUUUGAAUAACCAAGGGACAAGAAUCUUCAGGAGACAUUAUUGGAAUUUUGCCUCCGAUAGGUUUUUUUUAUUGUAAAGCUUCUCACUGUCUUUAAUUUGCUGAUGUGAACUCUGACUCCCCCAGA